AGUGGAGCUUGGUGGGACCAGAGGAGUGAAGGAAGAUAACCUGAUUGAGCCCAUUAUAUCUAUGUUUUGUAAUUACUUGUUCUGCUAGUAGGAGCGUGGCACAUGGCUCCUAUUCCAAACUACACACAUCUAUCAGGAGUUGAGAUCUUGUUUAUCAGCCUGUAAACACCUAUGUGUGCAUGGACACAUAUACUAACAAAGAGGUGCAAGAGAAUGAGGGUCUACAGCAGGACUGGACUGUCAGCCAGAAACAUGAACAUACGGCCAAAGCACGCGCAGAAUCACUAAAAAUUGACAACCAAAGAAUGAAAAAAACAAUGCUUGGAUUGAGAAAUCUUGAUUUAUGCUUUUGUCACUGUGUCAGUGCUUCAGCCUGUGGAUGGUGGUGAUGUAGUGGUGUAAGCAAUGUUUUCUUGGCCCACUUAAGGCCCCUUAUUUUCAAGUAUUAAUCCUCUAAACCCAUUUAUGGGUCAGAGAUAGAUGUAACCAAUACAGUAGCCACGAAAUGUAAAAUAUUCUGUAGCGCCUGGUUACUUUCAAGUACCGGUGCUAUUGAAAUUUAGAGGGCAAUCAGAGUAUUAUCAUGACUCUGAUCCCAAUUAGAAUGUUUCAGAUUGGCUGUGCUGUGGGCUCAUUCUGUUGUUACUGGGGUGCUAUCCCACCCCAGGGCGACAGGUGGCAGCAGCGGGGUCGAGACUUGGGUGUUCAUUUCCAGCAGCCAAUCAGGAGGAAGUGUCCUCGCUGGGCAUGCUGGGAGA